rnacentral:lncRNA from 1 species
AAAUCCCAUUUUUUUGGGCUGAAAUCCCAUUUUUCCCAUUUUUUUUCAGCCCUGCAGGAAAAUCCAAUUUUUGGAUGAAAAUCCAUUCCCAGCUGAUCCCAAAAAGCCGCUUUUGGUGCUGUUUCCUCGAUCCCACUUCCCACCUCUCCCUAUCCCGAAAAUCCGGGAUUCGGGAACGCGGGAUCCCCUCCGCCGGGGGCGGAGCUCGGAGCUUUUAUUCCCAAAAAUCUCCGGGGUGGAGGAGCCGUUUUGGGCCUUUUCCGGCUUUUCCCGGGAAUUUUUAUCAGGAAAAGAUGGUUUGGAAUACUUGAAACUCCCAUUCCCAAACUUUUCCCAACCCAGCGCUAAAAAGCGGGAGAGCAAUUCCCAGAUCCCAUCCCUGGGAUCCCUGGGAAGAUCUCGACCUGAAAUCCCAACAAUUCCGGGAAUCUCUGGUGCUUUUCCCACCCUGCUCCCAUUCCCGGGCCCCGGCGGAAUUCCAAGGGGAAAUUCCCGCUGCCUUUUCCAGAGGGAAAUUUAAUUUCUAUCCAAGAGAUUUAUGGGAAGGAAGAGACCUCGGAGCUUCUCCCGCUUUCCUCAAGCUGGAAAAUCGGGAUCCUGGAGGGGGCAGGAAAACGGGAGAGAGGCGGAAAAGCCGGAAAAAUUCCCAAAAAUCCAGCAGGAAAAGGGGAAUGAGGCGGAUCCAGCCUGGAAUGGAAGGCCGGGACAAGGAGCACCGGGAUUUGGAGCUCGGCUGGAUUUUCCCACGCGGAUCCCGAAAAUCGGCCUUGGAGAAACCAAUCCCGGCUGGAAUUCCCUUGGGAAUCCCCCAUUCCCUGAGGCUGCCUUUGGAUUCGAUCCCACUUUUCCCACGGAUUCCCGAGCGGAGCAGAACGCUCCCGACGCUCUCCCAGCCUGGAUUUUCCCGGGUUUUUUGUUUUUUGGGAAGCGUUUCCAGCUGGGAUCACACACCUGGAACUACCUCAGAUCUUCCCGCUGGAGGCGGAAUUUUGGGAUGGCGCCGAGGAGGAAGAGGAGGAGCCGUGGGGAAGGCUCUGGAACAUUCCAGAAGGGCGGAGGGGAGGGAGAAUUCCCAAGAAUCCCCUGGAAAAGCCCGGCUGGCUCCAGCACCCGCUGGAUCCCGGUUCCUCAUCCGGAAUUCCCGGAGUUUCCGCGUGGGAGAGGAAUUCCCGGGAGCUCUGGGAGCCGGGCUGGGACGUUCCACUGGAUUUUGGGAAUGCUCUGCUGGACCCCGGAGGGUUCGGGAAGUUCUCCUGGACCAUCAGGAUUUUGGGAUGCUCCAGCAGAACGUGGGGAUGAUUUCCGGGAUGGAUUCCUGGAUCCCGGCACUGGGAUGGAUUUUUGGGAUCCCGGCACUGGGAUGGAUUUUUGGGAUCCCAGAAUUGGGAUGGAUUUUUGG